AGGAAAAGGAAGUAACAUGGUAAAGAGAAUGUUAAUUUAUAUAAACAUAUACCAUGAUAUUCAGAUUUAUUAUACUCAGCUAAAGAAACAGAAGAAUAAUUGCCUAAAUAUAUUUGUGAAAAGGCAAAAAAUUGUGUGUGUGGGCAGAAAUCAAAAGAAACUACAUAUACAAACGCAUGAUCGAUAAUAAUUGCAAAAUUCAUUGCAUGACCAUCAGAAUAAUCAAAUAAAAAAUAUUCACCAAAAUUACACGGGCAAAAUUCUCAGAUUAAGAUGAGAAAAACCAAGAAAGCAAAUUAACAAGAAUUGAAACCAAAAAUAACAUGGGCAUUUCAUUUUCUCCAUUUUAUGCUUCCCUAAUCAAUAAAACUCCCACUUAAUAGAUUCAAGAAAAUAACAUACGGAUGCUAAUGAUCGUGUAAAAUAAGUUAUCAAAUCAAAAAAAUCAAAUCAGCAUUAUUCACCAAAGCUACACUUCAAAAAAAUCCGACUAAGAACUAUCAAGUCAAUCAAAGUCAAAUUGACAAUAAUUCUCUCAAAUUUUCCACAAUUCCAACAAAAAUCAAGAAUUUUAACCAAAACAACAAGGGUUUUCCAUUUCAUGCUUCCCUAAAUCACUCGCAUCACUACAAUCCCACAGUUAAGAAUCAAGAAGACAUAAAUACGCGUGUAAAUUAGAAAUCAAUUGGAAAAAAAAAACUAACUAUACAAAAAUUAGAAGAAACUUAAUAAUCCAAAAGAUCUGAGUGUAAGAUACCAGCUGGUCUUGUUCAGGUGCGCAGUGGACUGAUGUUAGGAAGAAAAGGGGGGAUUGUAAAUGUGCGGUUCUAGAAAUUACGGUGACUUUUGGUUUCAUAUGAAAACAAACAUGCCUGAUUGGUGCGGACGACGUGUUU
rnacentral:lncRNA from 1 species